rnacentral:rRNA from 1 species
UACGUAGGGUGCGAGCGUUAAUCGGAAUUACUGGGCGUAAAGGGUGCGCAGGCGGUCUCGUAAGCUGGGUGUGAAAGCCCCGGGCUUAACCUGGGAAUGGCAUUCAGGACUGCGAGGCUUUGAGUGUGGCAGAGGGAGGUGGAAUUCCACGUGUAGCAGUGAAAUGUGUAGAGAUCGGGAGGAACACCGGUGGCGAAGGCGGGUCUCUGGGCAAUUCCUGACGCUGAGGCGCGAAAGCGUGGGGAGCAAACGGG